GCAAGUGUCAAGAACACACCUUUCGAAAGUGUUGUAAAAUGUUCUUGAAUAGUUCAAAACAGUUGGUUCUUCUACUUGAAUGCUUGAUUCCAUAUUAGUAACUAUGUUUUACAAUCGUUGUAAAAAUGUGACUAAUAAGAAGUAGAAGAUAUAUGAGAGAAGAAAAGGUGCUUCACAUUCGGAACGUGAAUAAAAUAUAGAUCUCUGCGAAAGCAGAUAGUACUUACUUCCUCAUAUGAACUACCAAAGAAAUUGGAAAAACCAUAGAUUGUCUUUACAUUCCAAUUUUAAGGAACUUAAUUCCGUCACUAUAGUAGAGAUGGAUGAAUGUUUUGUUUGACAAAACAUUGUUCUUUAUUAAUCAAUGAUUGGAUUAUAGUAAUCUAAUUGAUUGUCUCUAUAGUAGAGAUGAUAUGGUAGUGUUAACUGUUUAGAAUAAAAUGAUGCUUAAAACCCAAAAGGUUGCAAGGUAGUGACUAAUCCCAACUAAAGUUGUGAUACCUCUAAA
rnacentral:lncRNA from 1 species